UUGGUAUAACACCAAGACAUAUCAAAGGCACAUACAACAGAAAUAAGUAGUAGAAACCCAACCUCACAGAAAAAGAUAGAGAGAAAUAAACUCUCACACUCCAAGCCUCCUUUAGAAACAAAAUGUCAAGACAUUUUGUUUGACAUCACAACAAACACACAAUAUCCUAAGCACAAACGAAAUUCUAUGAAAUAAAAUGUCAGGACAUUCUGUCUGAUAUCAUAGCAAGUACACAACAGCUUAAGCACAAACAAAAUUCUCUAAAACAAAAUGUCAAGACAUUCU
rnacentral:lncRNA from 1 species